UUGCCUAAAGUCCCUGAACUACCUAAACCAGAGUUGCCUAAAGUCCCUGAAUUGCCUAAACCAGAAUUGCCUAAAGUCCCUGAACUACCUAAACCAGAAUUGCCUAAAGUUCCUGAACUGCCUAAGAUCCCUGAAUUACCUAAGCCAGAGUUGACUAAAGUCCCUGAAGUGCCUAAGCCAGAGUUGACUAAAGUACCUGAGUUGCCUAAAUUCUCAGAAGUGCCUAAGUCUGAGUUGCCCAAAGUACCUGAGUUACCUAAAGUCCCUGAAGUGCCUAAGUCUGAGUUGCCCAAAGUACCUGAGUUACCUAAAGUCCCUGAAGUGCCUAAGUCUGAGUUGCCCAAAGUACCUGAGUUAUCUAAAGUCCCUGAAGUACCUAAGUCUGAGUUGCCCAAAGUACCUGAGUUACCUAAAGUCCCUGAAGUACCAAAGUCUGAGUUGCCCAAAGUUCCUGAAUUGCCUAAAUUCGACUUGCCUAAAAUUCCCGAAUUGUCUAAACCAGAGUUGCCUAAAGUACCUGAAAUUCCUAAGCCUGAGUUGCCUAAAAUACCAGAAAUACCAAAACAUUAAAUGCCUUAGAUGCUUAAGGUUCCUGAACUUUCUAAGCCAUAGUUGUCUU
rnacentral:lncRNA from 1 species